UGGACAGAUUAUUGUAUUCGACUGUAUUCACGGCGUAAAAUAGGGGAUUACACUAUUUUUAAAAUGGAAAGUGAAUCAAUUAACAUAAUAGACUCCU
rnacentral:pre_miRNA from 1 species